rnacentral:rRNA from 1 species
UACGGGGGGGGGCAAGCGUUUGUUCGGAAUUACUGGGCGUAAAGGGCUCGUAGGCGGCCAACUAAGUCGGACGUGAAAUCCCCAGGCUCAACCUGGGAACUGCGUCCGAUACUGGAUGGCUUGAAUCCGGGAGAGGGAUGCAGAAUUCCAGGUGUAGCGGUGAAAUGCGUAGAUAUCUGGAGGAAUACCGGUGGCGAAGGCGGCAUCCUGGACCGGCAUUGACGCUGAGGAGCGAAAGCCAGGGGAGCAAAGCGGG